CCUACGGGAGGCAGCAGUGGGGAAUAUUGGGCAAUGGGCGCAAGCCUGACCCAGCAACGCCGCGUGAAGGAAGAAGGCUUUCGGGUUGUAAACUUCUUUUUAGAGGGAAGAGAAGAAGACGGUACCUCUUGAAUAAGCCACGGCUAACUAUGUGCCAGCAGACGCGGUAAUACGUAGGUGGCAAGCGUUGUCCGGAUUUACUGGGAGUAAAGGGCGUGCAGCCGGGCUGACAAGUCAGAUGUGAAAUCAUGCGGCUCAACCGCGGAACUGCAUUGGAAACUGUCAGUCUUGAGUACCGGAGAUGACAUCGGAAUUCCUUGUGUAGCGGUGAAAUGCGUAGAUAUAAGGAAGAACACCAGUGGCGAAGGCGGAUGACUGGACGGCAACUGACGGUGAGGCGCGAAAGCGUGGGGAGCAAACAGGAUUAGAUACCCGAGUAGUC
rnacentral:rRNA from 1 species